rnacentral:rRNA from 1 species
UACCCGCUGAGUUUAAGCAUAUCAAUAAGCGGAGGAAAAGAAACUAACAAGGAUUCCCCUAGUAACGGCGAGCGAACG